rnacentral:rRNA from 1 species
GAUGAACGCUGGCGGCGUGCCUAAUACACGCAAGUCGAGCGAACAGACGAGGAGCUUGCUCCUCUGACGUUAGCGGCGGACGGGUGAGUAACACGUGGAUAACCUACCUAUAAGACUGGGAUAACUUCGGGAAACCGGAGCUAAUACCGGAUAAUAUAUUGAACCGCAUGGUUCAAUAGUGAAAGACGGUUUUGCUGUCACUUAUAGAUGGAUCCGCGCCGCAUUAGCUAGUUGGUAAGGUAACGGCUUGCCAAGGCAACGAUGCGUAGCCGACCUGAGAGGGUGAUCGGCCACACUGGAACUGAGACACGGUCCAGACUCCUACGGGAGGCAGCAGUAGGGAAUCUUCCGCAAUGGGCGAAAGCCUGACGGAGCAACGCCGCGUGAGUGAUGAAGGUCUUCGGAUCGUAAAACUCUGUUAUUAGGGAAGAACAAAUGUGUAAGUAACUAUGCACGUCUUGACGGUACCUAAUCAGAAAGCCACGGCUAACUACGUG